rnacentral:rRNA from 1 species
GUGUCAGCCGCCGCGGUAAUACGUAGGGUGCAAGCGUUGUCCGGAAUUAUUGGGCGUAAAGAGCUCGUAGGCGGUCUGUCGCGUCUGCUGUGAAAACCUAGGGCUUAACUCUGGGCGUGCAGUGGGUACGGGCAGGCUAGAGUGCGGUAGGGGAGACUGGAAUUCCUGGUGUAGCGGUGAAAUGCGCAGAUAUCAGGAGGAACACCGGUGGCGAAGGCGGGUCUCUGGGCCGUAACUGACGCUGAGGAGCGAAAGCAUGGGGAGCGAACAGGAUUAGAUACCCUCGUAGUCC